rnacentral:rRNA from 1 species
AUUGAACGCUGGCGGCGUGCUUAACACAUGCAAGUCGAUCGGUAACGCGGGGGCAACCCUGGCGACGAGAGGCGGACGGGUGAGGAACGCUUGGGAAUCUGCCCUUCAGCGGGGGACAACCCGGGGAAACCCGGGCUAAUACCGCAUACGCUCCACGGAGGAAAGCCGGGGACCGCAAGGCCUGGCACUGAAGGAUGAGCCCAAGUCGGAUUAGCUAGUUGGCGGGGUAACGGCCCACCAAGGCGACGAUCCGUAGCUGGUCUGAGAGGACGAUCAGCCACACUGGGACUGGCACACGGCACAGACUCCUACGGGAGGCAGCAGUGGGGAAUAUUGGACAAUGGGGGAAACCCUGAUCCAGCGACGCCGCGUGGGUGAAGAAGGCCUGCGGGUUGUAAAGCCCUUUCGGUAGGGACGAAAGCUCUCGACCUAACACGUCGGGAGGAUGACUUAACCUACAAAAGAAGCACCGGCUAACUCUGUGCCAGCCGCCGCCGUAAUAC